AGUGAACGCUGGCGGUAGGCCUAACACAUGCAAGUCGAACGGCAGCACAGUAAGAGCUUGCUCUUACGGGUGGCGAGUGGCGGACGGGUGAGGAAUACAUCGGAAUCUACUUUUUCGUGGGGGAUAACGUAGGGAAACUUACGCUAAUACCGCAUACGACCUACGGGUGAAAGCAGGGGAUCUUCGGACCUUGCGCGAUUGAAUGAGCCGAUGUCGGAUUAGCUAGUUGGCGGGGUAAAGGCCCACCAAGGCGACGAUCCGUAGCUGGUCUGAGAGGAUGAUCAGCCACACUGGAACUGAGACACGGUCCAGACUCCUACGGGAGGCAGCAGUGGGGAAUAUUGGACAAUGGGCGCAAGCCCUAUCCAGCCAUACCGCGUGGGUGAAGAAGGCCUUCGGGUUGUAAAGCCCUUUUGUUGGGAAAGAAAAGCAGCAGGUUAAUACCCCGCUGUUCUGACGGUACCCAAAGAAUAAGCACCGGCUAACUUCGUG
rnacentral:rRNA from 1 species